AGCGAACGCUGGCGGCAGGCCUAACACAUGCAAGUCGAACGAACCUUUCGGGGUUAGUGGCGGACGGGUGAGUAACACGUGGGAACGUGCCUUUAGGUUCGGAAUAACUCAGGGAAACUUGUGCUAAUACCGAAUGUGCCCUUCGGGGGAAAGAUUAAUCGCCUUUAGAGCGGCCCGCGUCUGAUUAGCUAGUUGGUUGAGGUAAUGGCUCACCAAGGCGACGAUGAGUAGCUGGUCUGAGAGGAUGAUCAGCCACAUUGGGACUGAGACACGGCCCAAACUCCUACGGGAGGCAGCAGUGGGGAAUCUUGCGCAAUGGGCGAAAGCCUGACGCAGCCAUGCCGCGUGAAUGAUGAAGGUCUUAGGAUUGUAAAAUUCUUUCACCGGGGACGAUAAUGACGGUACCCGGAGAAGAAGCCCCGGCUAACUUCGUG
rnacentral:rRNA from 1 species